GGCUUCGUGGUGUAGCGGUCAGCACGCUCGACGCGUAUUCGAGAGGUCCGUGGUUCGAAUUCCGGCUAGGGCA
rfam:Stegodyphus mimosarum contig92685, whole genome shotgun sequence.